AUUGUCGAGCGGUCAAGAUUGGCUUUUAACCGAUUGGUCUGAGUUCGAAUCUCAGGCGACCCA
rnacentral:tRNA from 1 species